rnacentral:rRNA from 1 species
CCUACGGGAGGCUGCAGUCGAGAAUCAUUCACAAUGGGGGAAACCCUGAUGGUGCGACGCCGCGUGGGGGAAUGAAGGUCUUCGGAUUGUAAACCCCUGUCAUGUGGGAGCAAAUUAAAAAGAUAGUACCACAAGAGGAAGAGACGGCUAACUCUGUGCCAGCAGCCGCGGUACUACAGAGGUCUCAAGCGUUGUUCGGAAUCACUGGGCGUAAAGCGUGCGUAGGCUGUUUCGUAAGUCGUGUGUGAAAGGCGCGGGCUCAACCCGCGGACGGCACAUGAUACUGCGAGACUAGAGUAAUGGGGGGGGAACCGGAAUUCUCGGUGUAGCAGUGAAAUGCGUAGAUAUCGAGAGGAACACUCGUGGCGAAGGCGGGUUCCUGGACAUUAACUGACGCUGAGGCACGAAGGCGAGGGGAGCGAAAGGGAUUAGAUACCCCAGUAGUC